rnacentral:rRNA from 1 species
ACAGGUCCUUCGGGAUGCUGACGAGCGGCGGACGGGUGAGUAAUGCUUAGGAAUCUGCCUGGUAGUGGGGGAUAGCCCGGGGAAACCCGGAUUAAUACCGCGUACGCCCUUCGGGGGAAAGCAGGGGAUCUUCGGACCUUGCGCUAUCAGAUGAGCCUAAGCCGGAUUAGCUAGUUGGUGGGGUAAAGGCCCACCAAGGCGACGAUCCGUAGCUGGUCUGAGAGGAUGAUCAGCCACAUCGGGACUGAGACACGGCCCGAACUCCUACGGGAGGCAGCAGUGGGGAAUAUUGGACAAUGGGGGCAACCCUGAUCCAGCCAUGCCGCG